rnacentral:rRNA from 1 species
CCUACGGGUGGCAGCAGCUGGGAAUAUUGCACAAUGGGGGAAACCCUGAUGCAGCAACGCCGCGUGCGUGAAGAAGUAUUUCGGUAUGUAAAGCUCUAUCAGCAGGGAAGAAGAUGACGGUACCUGAAUAAGAAGCCCCGGCUAACUACGUGCCAGCCGCCGCGGUAAUACGUCGGGGGCAAGCGUUAUCCGGAUUUACUGGGUGUAAAGGGAGCGCAGACGGCAGUGCAAGUCUGGAGUGAAAGGCCGGGGCCCAACCCCGGACCUGCGCUGGAAACUGGGCGGCUAGAGUACUGGAGGGGCAGGCGGAAUUCGUAGUGUAGCGGUGAAAUGCGUAGAUAUUAGGAGGAACACCAGUGGCGAAGGCGGCCUGCUGGAGAGUAACUGACGUUGAGGCUCGAAAGCGUGGGGAGCAAACAGGAUUAGAUACCCGAGUAGUC